rnacentral:rRNA from 1 species
AUUGAACGCUAGCGGGAUGCUUUACACAUGCAAGUCGAACGGCAGCGCGGACUUCGGUCUGGCGGCGAGUGGCGAACGGGUGAGUAAUGUAUCGGAACGUGCCCAGUAGCGGGGGAUAACUACGCGAAAGCGUAGCUAAUACCGCAUACGCCCUACGGGGGAAAGCAGGGGAUCGUAAGACCUUGCACUAUUGGAGCGGCCGAUAUCGGAUUAGCUAGUUGGUGAGGUAACGGCUCACCAAGGCGACGAUCCGUAGCUGGUUUGAGAGGACGACCAGCCACACUUGGACUUAGACACGGCCCAGACUCCUACGGGAGGGCGCAGUGGGGAAUUUUGGACAAUGGGGGCAACCCUGAUCCAGCCAUCCCGCGUGUGCGAUGAAGGCCUUCGGGUUGUAAAGCACUUUUGGCAGGAAAGAAACGUCGCGGGCUAAUACCCCGUGGAACUGACGGUACCUGCAGAAUAAGCACCGGCUAACUACGUG